CAAGUUCAGUCUCUUGCUCUCUCUGUCUCUCUUAGACUCACCAUCGCUGAUUCGCCGUUCAUAGUCACCGUCGGUCUUCCACCGUUGCUCAUUGUCGAUCUUCCACCGUCGAACAUCAUUACAUCGCCGCCACCGCUCGCAUCACAUCGCUUCAACAUUGAGAUUGUGAAAGCUUGAAAUUUCAUUACCAAUGAUUGAAAUAGUGAAAGACAAGGUUUGGUGCCUUUAUCCCAACAAGAAUGCACCAACAAAGUUGGUUCAUGAUACCUUUAGUCAAGAUUCUUCACCAGGUCAAGAAUGCAAACUGAACAUGUUCAACAAGGUGGUAAUUUUCAUGUUGAUUGAUGGUACAUGGAACAGACAAAUGGAGAUACAACUCUGCACUUUGUUUUGCUUGAUGGUACAUGGAACAACUCUGCUACCAUGUUCAGACGUUUGAAGGUCAUAUUGAAAACACUUAGUUUUUCCUACUUUUCCUAAUAAUGGUGUAUUUAAGUGUUUGGCAAAACUAUAUGCUUCUGUUUUCUCUGUGAUCUUGACAUUUGUCAUGUCAUAUAUUCCUGGACCAGUGAUCUGUCUUCCUGAGACAUUCCCUUGAACCUCUAAUGUAUAACUGUGACAGUAUACCCUUUCCUGAAAUUUGUGAAUAUUUUGGUUAUAAAAAUCUAUUAAACUCAAUCAAGUCAUUAAACACACAAAACCUUGAGUUCAGGAACUAUAUC